UCGUCAUCGUAGGGUUAGUCGGGUCCUAAGCAAAGUCCGAAAGGGGUAUGCGAUGGCAAAUCGGUUAAUAUUCCGAUACCAAUUAUUAUGUGCGAUGGAAGGACGCUUAAAGUUAGGCAAGCUGACUGAUGGAAUAGUUAGUCGAAGGGCGUAGGUUGAGUUAUAGGCAAAUCCGUAACUCUUUAUCCGAGACCUGACAGGCUCACAAAGCUCUUCGGAGGUGCGUGAGAAUUGCUGAUACUAUCGAGCCAAGAAAAGUUUCUAAGUUUAGUAAUAAUUGCCCGUACCGUAAACCGACACAGGUGGGUGGGAUGAGUAUUCUAAGGCGCGUGGAAGAACUCUCUUUAAGGAACUCUGCAAAAUAGCACCGUAAGUUCGCGAUAAGGUGUGCCUAAGCAAUUAGGUCUCAGCAAAGAGUCCCUCCCGACUGUUUAC
rnacentral:rRNA from 1 species